UAAACUUAAUUACAAAAACUGUCACCGUUGGCUCUCUCUCCCUCCCUUCUGUUCAGAUUCAACCCUUUACCAAAAUCUCUCUCUCUCUCUCUCUCUCUCUCUCUCUCUCUCUCCACAAACCCUUACCAUCCCAACCUCCUUGACCGCGACUCCUUGAGACCUUCCUCGACUUCUUCGACUCGGCGCCCUUCACCAUCGAUCUCUCCUUCGAGUGGAUCCUCGACUCCCGUGACUCCGACGCCGAUCAGUUCAAGCUCAUUGAUCGCGCCCUGCAGUUGGGAUUGGUGCUCCUCGAGGCCGGUAAGAGCUUGGCGAGACGACGAGCCUCCAAGAACAACUCCAUCUCCUGGGCUCUCCCUCAAGACCUCAGCAUCAAGGUCUUUUCCAUGCCCCAUACUCAAAGCAUAUGCUAUCCUGCAGCUACUUAUUCAAUGUUUAAUAAAUGUGCCAUGCGAAUAUUGACUUGACAACAGUUGUCCUAAAAGUUAACAAUGGAGUAGUUUCCACAAUGAUACACAAACAGGGAAAGCUCUUGAGUUGUGGCUCAAAAACUGAAGGAGGCAGAAAUUACCGAGCAAGACUCCCUUCUGGUUCCACUUUCCUCUUCUAGUUGACCUCUCCUCCUCCUCCGGCAACGAUGACUUCAGGAACUGGAAUGCCGACUUCGUCAAGGAAUUCUGGCAUUGACAAUUUACGAGCAUCUACAUAAGGAAUUUGAAGCUACACGGGCUUUUCAAACUCCAGGUAGCUCUGAAUAGAUUUUAUGCUAAAUGCUUCAUUUUAAAGGUACAGUUGCAUCUAGCUUUCGGUCAUCAUGGUAAGUUUUUCUUUAUUUGCUUAAGUGGUUUCUAAAAGCAUUUAGAGGUAAAUUCUUGGGUGUGGAAACUAUAGACCUGCAUCUUCUGUGAAUUGUAGCGGUUUUAAGUUGAACUCAACCAUGAUCAGGUUGUGAUAUCUAAGUUGAUAAUGAGUCUCGUGGGUUACUGUGUGAUUGUCUAAUAAAACCCGCUCUAAAAUUUGUUGUUCUUGUUAUGUGGCAUGUGCUAAUCGUAGAACUAAGUGUCAAAUUUGUUGUCACUGGCCAAGUCACUAGCCAGUUACUGAUCAUAUCCUAUGUUAAUUACAAGUCAGUAACCAAGUCACUGCCAAUCGCAUGUCACCUGCCAAGUCACUGUUAUAUCUAUGUCAUUGACUUUGUCACAUUGCAUAUUACUGACCAUGUCACUGUGAUACACAAGUCACUGGCCAAAUCACAUUGUAUGUCACUGACAUAUUUUGAAAAUUUCAAAUCAUUAUUAUAUCCUGGUCACUAGCCAAGUAACUAUUACAAGAAGAAAUCUCACUAGCCAUGUCAUUGAUAGAGGUGGCAAACGGGCCACUAAGCACGAGCACGGCACGGGCCCGACACUCUUAAAAGAGGCUUGGCACGGUCCAAGCCCAUUAGUCGACCUACACGACCCGAGCACGUUAGAAUAAUGGGCCGGGUUGGGCCUAUGAAUAUUGGCCCAUUGGCCCGGUCUGGCCUGAGCACAACAAAUUGUGGGAUGGCCCGUUACAAAUACAAAAUUUCAUUUUUUAAAAAAAAAUAUUUAAAAACCACAAUGAUGAGAUUUGAAUAUUAGACCUCUUUAUUUAAAAUCUCAUGACAAUUCCACCAAUGCU